CCAUCAGGAGCCGGCCUCUGCCCGUCUGGGCCCCAGUGAAACACUGUGAUGGUACCAUUAGAGCAGCUGGAGUGGUCACAGGUGCGGCCCGGCUCCAGGCUCUCUGUGCCGAGUCAAAAAGACAAAACAGUGGAAGAAAAAAAAACMAGAAAGUCUUCGCUGAGAUCCAGCGUAAACCCUGCUGAGGCUUCUGGAGGACUCAGGAGGUGCCAGAAACAACAAGAGGAGCUUAUUAAAGGCCGCCCAGAUGGAAACAUAAUUAAAUACUCGGAGACGGGUCUUAGGAAGUAAUUUACCGGAGGAGAGCGACUGCGUAAAGCCUCGCCUGCUUCAGAGCCGGAUCAGAAACCUGCUCUGUUUUCAGAGAUGAUUUCAGAUUCCUGCUCCCACUGGAAGUCACGCAGCACCGAACACGAAAGGUCAAUCAGCCGUGAAAAAAUAACAYCCAAGGACGAAAACGCUGUUUUUACUGAGCCGGAGCGUCUAAUGAGUUUUAUACAAAUUAUUAUUGUGCUUUUAUUGAAAUAGAAUCAGGAGUAAAAUAAAUAAAACGAUUAUUAGAAAAAUAAUGUUGCAUUGUGAGGUGAUGGUUUAACUCGGGGGGGUUCAGUCCUGCAGGUUUUAGGGGUUUCUCUGUUCCAUUGAGGCCCACCAGGACCAGGACUAGGACCAGGACCAGGAUGAACACCCCUGGAUUGAAGCAUUGUGUUGCUGUUGAUCUUUUAGCGCCAUCUGGUGGGUUAAAGCACAACCUUCAUGUUCCUUUACUGAAAACUGUAACAGCUCCACCAACAACCUGCAGAGGGCGCUCUGUCUUUACUUUCAUCUAAAAGCAUCAACCUGUCUGUUACAAGGAGAUCCUGGUUCUGGACCUGGACCUGGCUCGCCUCCUCCAUGAGGGGUCGAGGAGAGCAGGAGCAGGGCUGGAGGGGUCCACAAGAGUCCAGUGGGCCGUCAGAACCAGAACUCCCAGGCAGGCUGCAGACUCCAGGCUGCAGACUCCAGGCUGCAGACUCCAGGCUGCAGACUCCAGGCUCCAGGCUGCAGACUCCAGGCUGCAGGCUCCAAGCUGCAGGCUGCAGACUGCAGACUCCAGGCUGCAGACUCCAGGCUGCAGACUCCAGGCUCCAGGCUCCAGGCUCCAGGCUGCAGACUCCAGGCUGCAGACUCCAGGCUCCAGGCUGCAGGCUGCAGGCUGCAGGCUGCAGACUCCAGGCUGCAGACUCCAGGCUGCAGACUCCAGGC